CUUGGUUAGAAUGCAUCGGAAUUAUACUUUCAGUUCUACCUUUAACACAGGUAGUUUUUGUUUUUUUAACUAAAUGUUAAUAUGUUAACUAAAAAUAACCAAACAGUAGGCAAAGCCUUGCACUCAGCCCCUCUCACUAUGCCCACUCUUGACAACCUGUGUGUGAACUGAGGGAGGAGAGGUUCUUCCUCGGCCACAGCCACUUCCUCCUCGCUUGAGUCAGUACAAGGUCAACUGCAAGCUCUCUAUGUAUGUCCAACAAGCCUGCAAACCAAUCUUAUUUGUGCUUUCCUGCACGUUAAAACGGCUCAUUAGAAAAAAGCUGGGAAACUCCCAAGAUAUUGUGGAAAUGGAAUUCUAAAACAAGGGGAUCAGGGAAAGAGUCUGCACACUUGCUGUCAACUAAAGUCACUCUCAAGCUCUAAUCCUGUAAGUUAGAAAGACUUAGUUGAAGACCUUGGUAAAGUUUCACUGUUUGGACCCAGCAGUAUAAAUGUGCCCCUGAGAUCCCUUUUAUCACCAAGCUUUAAGAACUGGAGGUGAGGAGGGGAGGCUGGAGUCAGAGCCAGAGCUAAUUAAACAAUUCCACUGGCACUUUCUAGAGCCUAAUUGGUUUUGCAACAUUUCUCCAUGAAAAGCAAAAGAAAGGAUAACCUGGCGGUCCAAGGGUUCCUCCCAGGGCUCCUGCCCCAGGCUCAUUACACAAACACCCCUGCCCAGAAUCCCUUCACUUCUUCAGUGUCACCAACACUGGAGGGGAGGACAUUAACCCCUGGUGGCCUCAAUAGAGGGUGCAAUCUGACUGUUGGCUCCCUUGCCUAUCCUUACAGGGAGAUUCCAGCUUUUAUUAACCAGAUUAUUCUCCAAGAAUUGGUGCAACAAAGUGCUGCUUUGGUGUAAGGCUUCCUAACUUUCUGCUUAGAAGUUCUCAAAUGGACCACUACAGGGGUGACCAUCAUCCAGAAAUACUCCUAGCAACCGAGACAUACAAGGUCUUCUAAAGAACAGCUCAGCGGAGUGAAAGGAUAAGCAAUUUAGAAUGUGUGAGGAUGCCAAUUCCUUGGAGAGGCAAGGGGAGAUGGAUCACGCAGGCCGGCUUCUGCAGCUGAGAAAUCUCACAAUGAGAGGACUGAGGCACAAGAGAGGGCUGAACACAGCUGGAUUGGAAGCCAGGCAGUCUAGCUCCAGAGGACAUGCCCUUCAAAGCUUUGAACCUGAAUGCUCUCAA